CUGAGAAGCGCUCCGCACGUCUCACCUCUUCUCCUUCUCUCUCUCCCCCUUUCUGCCUCUGUCUCUGUAUGCGUGCUUGUGUGCGUGCUUUCUACUUUUGCGACACGACCCGCUUUCUUCUUCGAAGACACACACACACACACACACACACACAGGCAGACGAACAAAGGAAAACGGAAGAGAGUGCGAAGAGAACAGAGAGACGCUCUCACACCCUUCUCCCCUCUCCUCCCCUCUCCUCCCCUCUAACCCCCUCCCCUUCCCCACCCACCCACCCCCACAAGCACACACACACACACACACACACCCACACACCCACCCACCCCCACAAGCACACACACUACACCCAUCUCCCCUCCCUCCCCCACGCCACGCACAGACGAGGUCCAGUCGGGGGACCGACGCCAAAAGGGAAAACACCGACAAAAAGGAAACGAGCUUAAGCACAACAACAAAGCCGGCCGAAGAAAAAAAGAAAACACACACAAAAAAACGGCAUAACUAGUUAUGCCGCCUCGUAUGCAUCGCGGCGGUGGUGGCCAGGGCCCCGCCCCGCAGCAGCAGCAGGCACCGCCUCCACAGCAGCCCCCCCAACAGCAGCAACAGCAAGCGCCGCCACAGCAGCAGCAGCAAGGCUACGGUAAUGGCGCAGGUGGACCGCAGUCGCAUCUGCACGUGUUUCAUCACCACGCCGGCUACAAUGACGUUGGCCGCGGCGGAAUGCCGCCACCGCAGCACGGCGGCAACAGCGGAUCGAACAACAUGAGCAGCAUGAUGUAUGGUGGCGGCAGUGGCGGUGGCAACGCGCCGACCUCGCCGGUAUACGGCGGCGGCGGUGCGGCUUACAGCAACAACAAAAGUAGUAUCCCUCCCCACAUGAUGUCCCCAUCUCCGCACCCGCAGAUUGUGGGGAUGGGGAACGAGUACGCCCCCCGGAUGCAGUCGUCUCCCUAUCCACAGCAGCAGCAGCAAGGUGGCGGCGCGAGCACGCCAAACAGCAUCGGCCGCCGCGUCCGCACACCUGGACCGUCAAACAUGGGGCCGCAGCCUCAACAGCAGCAGCUGCCUCCUCCACCGCCGCAGCAGCCGUACUACGGUGGCAAUCAGGGUGGAGGGAUGAGCUACAACCCGAAUAUGCGCGGCUCUGCCCCACCGCCGCCGCCGCCGCACAUGGAGCCGUCGCCAAGCUUCGUCAAUAGCGCGCCGCAGCAGCCGCAGCCCGGAAUGAUGCGCGGGGAUGGCGGCUAUGGCCCGGAUGUGGACAACAGUCCACCGCCGCAGAACAACGGCUAUCGUGCUGGCCAGCCGCCUCCGCCGCCGCAGCAACAUCAGCAGCAGAUGCACAUGCAGUCAUCUCCGCUGCAGCCGCAGCACUACCAAGGCAACGGUGGCUACGGUGGUGGUGGUGGCCGUGGGAUGGGAGGUGGGAUGCAGAACCCGAACAUGCAGAUGCAACCACCCCCACAGCAGCAGCAGCAAAUGAUGGGGGGCGGCAGUGCAUCGAACAGCGCAAACCGUGGCAUCAUGGGACCGAUGGGAGGCAGCAAACAAAUGCAGCAGGGGCCGCCGCCCCCAUUGCAGCAGCAGCAACAGGCGAUGCCGCCGCCGCCGCAACAGCAGCAACCCGGCAUGAGCAGCAAUUGGGGCUCGCCGCAGCCACCGCCGACGCACAUGCAGCCAAACGCGUCUCCGCCGCCGCAGGGGCAGCCACAGAUGGUUGGAAUGCAAUACGGCGGCGGUGGCCCGGUGCCGAUGGUGGGCCGUGGCCGUGUGCCUGGCGCGCGCAUGGGUGGCGGCGGGAUGGGACCGAUGGGCAACAACAUGGGUGCCCCGCCGCCGCCGCUACAGCAGCAGCGUCAGCCGCUACAGCCGCCGAGUAUGAUGGGUGGUGUUGGCGGCCCGCAGCAGAUGCCGGGUGGAGGUAACAUGAACCCGCAGAUGAUGAUGCCGCCACCACCGCAAGGUGGACAGGGCUCCAUGAUGCAGCAGAGCGGCGGUGUUCCGGGCAUGUACGGUGGCAGCAUGGAUGCCAACAUGAUGGGCGGGAUGGGUGGCCCACCGAUGCCGGGGUACAUGGACGCUGACCCGCGUGGCGAUCUCGCCCCGCAGCAGACCCUCUACGAGUUCCUCAUGGAGAAGCGGCUGCUGCGCAAAACAACCCUUGGUACCUUCUUCCCUGAAGACUACGACCCGAAGUGCGAUAGCCGCAUCACGAUUGCGGUGGACGGCAACUACAUGAUUACUAACCUCCGCGCGCAGCUGCAGCGCACCGACCCGCUGUGGUUCCUGCACUCCUGCCUGCCCGACUGCCUGCUGUCUCUCGUGCACAAGCACGUGGAGCAGAUGCGCGCGCACCACCUGGAGCCGCUAUGGGUGCUGAACGGCAUUAGUAUCAACGGCGAUGUGGAGGCGUUCCUGCCGAGCCCGGACGAGCUGCACUCGCGCGAUGCAGUGUGGGCGAAGCUGAACGAGGGCAUCGAGCUCCCCACGCAGGACGAGAUCACCGAGGCCUUCGAGACGUCGUCGGCCGUCGGCGAGGACGUGCUGCGGGCCAUUCAGCGCUUCCUGCGCACGGAGGAGAACGUGGUCUGCGUGACGGCGCCGUUCCUCAACUGGUGCCAGAUGUGCACCCUCCACAAGGAGGGCAUCGCGCAGCUGCUGAUGGGCCCUCCAGAGAUGCUAAUGGUGCCCUACGACGACAUGAAGGUGAUUGCGGAGGUGAACCUGCAGACGAGCGAGGUGGCCUAUUACGACCGCGACGAGGUGCUGCGCGAGCUGUUCCCGCGCUACGUGACGGAGACGUCCACCGCCGCGGCUGGCGAUCGCUUUCUCGACUUCGGUUUGCUCAUCGCCUCGCACCCGGCCAUCACGACCGCCCACGCGAGUGUGCAACUGUCGACGCAGAGCAUCUACGAGGAGCUGUCGACGCCGCACCCAAGCUUCAACACCCUUCGCGAGUUCAUUGAUCAGUACGAGUACCCGCAGAACCAGAAUGAGCGCCCUAAUCUUGAGAAGCUGAAGCACUCAAAGGGCCGCACGUACAUCCAGUACAGUCCCGUCUUCUCCAAUCAGGUAACGUCGGAGUCUUCGCUCGUGUACUUCAAGCGCAUCCUAGACCCCAGCCUGACGAACGCGAACAUGCCCAACAAUCUGUCUGGCGUGUUCGGCUACCUCGUGCCGCUGUCCCUCUUCUACUUUCAGUUCACCGGCCUGCUCUCGGUCGGCCUCAUGACCGCCGUCACCCAGCUCUACAUCCGCGAUGAGUUCCCUGUCGCCGACACAGAGGAGUAUCACCACUUGCUGCACCCUCUCAUGGCACUGCGCGGGCAGAUAAUCUCGCAGAUGGUCUCUCGCAUUAAGGCGGAUGCGCACGGCCAGCGCCUCGGCAAGAUCUCAUGGGUGCGGUGGUUUGACUCGAUCCUGAUGAGCGUUCUGCCGCCUGAUCGUCUCAUCGUGUUGGACGAGUGGAAUCUCAAGAACUCGCCAGAGCUUGCCAGCGUGCCGGAUGACCAGCUGGAGAAUAUCGAUAUGUCCAUGGUGCUCUCCCUCAAGUCGUCGGUAAUGUGCAUCCCGGCGCCGCAGUUGCCGGCCAACGCAUCCCCUCGUGAUGCACCGAUCUUGUACCACGGCAAAAAGGAGACCUUCUUCGCGAUUUUGCUCAAGACGUUCGACUUUGUCGGCUAUUUCUCCCACUCGGCGGAUCCGAUGGAUGGCGCUGAGCUGGCGUCGGAGCCUGUGCAGGCGAUGGUGCAGGGCCAAUCCGCCCCUGAUGAUCAGAGCAACGGGCCGGACGGUGGUAAGGGCGACCUCGUCGACAGCUCCUCGGACCCGAACAUGAGCGAGCAGCGUGUCUUCUUCACAGCUUACCUUAGCAUCUCCCUCGAGCACUGCCCACAGGAGUUCCAGUGCGCACUGGUGCGCUUCACCGAGCUUGUGCGCGUCAGCACUAUCAACUCCAUUGCUUUCACCUUUGCCGACACCAUCGAACUGCAGCACGACGAGGACGGCGCGCUGGCCGACCCACCAGAGGUGUUGCUGGCGACGCGCAUCGCCUGCCUUGUGUCAGUCCCGUAUGAGCAGAAAACGGACGAGGAGUCUGAGUUCGAGUGGGCCCCGGUGUACAGCCGCCAGCUGUGCGCCUUCACCGUCAUGUCGCGUGUCAUGAACCGCAGCUUGCGAGUGCUGACGGAGGCCAUCGCUGCCGCGCUGUUCCUCUCCGGAUUUAGUGACUGCUCUUUGGAAGACUACGACAGUAUGACACCACUGCUCCCCUUCGGCGACGUGCCCGGCUCACUCGGCGGCCUGCUCCUGCACUACGUGCUCGUCUUUCCGCCCGACUACGAGGCGAAUUGCCAGACGCCGGAGGAGCGCUGCCGCCUGCUUGAGACGAAGUUCAAAGCAAUCCCGAACAUCCAGACCCAGCUGCGCCGCGUCAUGGAGUUCACCUUUCACGCGCUCUACCUGCUCAAUGUUUACAUCCUGCGCGACCCGAGCAUUGUGAGCUCGCCUGAGCUCGUCGAGACUGACGUCGUUGCGAACGCUCUCAAUCUGCUGCAUGAGAAGUGGGUGCUGCACCUUGACGGGCCGGCCCCGGAGGACGUGCAUGGGUACUUCCAAUUCGAGUAGCGAGCGGAAGUGAGGGAGUUGAUUUGGUGGACCUUAGUUGAGCGAAUUUUUUGUUCUCACCAUGCGAGGAUGACAGAAAAGAGGGAGAGCGGCGGGGAGCGUGAGGAGGAAGGGGAAGAGGAGGCAGGCGGGGGCGGGCGGGCGGCGUGACGGCGUGACGGCGGGAGGAGGGGUGAGGACGUUUACACGCCUCCUUCUCUCUCACUCCCAUGCCCCUCCUCUUGUGCCCUUUCUCCCCAUAUCAGCGUUGCUGCAAUUGUGACUGUUUCUCCUUUCCCUUUUCUUUUGUUUUUCGUUUUAGGACUAGUUUUAGAUCUCGCCAUUGGGCUAGCUGUGCGCGUGUAUGCAUGUGAGUUCAGGGUGUGGGUAAUACGUCGGCGCUGAUGCUAUUCUUUGUCUUGUCGAGCACAUCAUCAUUCCGCUCUCCCUCCCGCUUUCCCUCCCGCUCUCCUUCCCUCCCACACCCACAGACACGCGGACACGUCAGCUGAGGCCGUGUGCGUGUUGCUUUCUCUGCCAGCUCCUUUGAGUCUCUCUCCCUUCUCACAUAUGCAUUCCCUCGCCUCUUCCAUCUUCCCUCAUCUUUCUCUCGCUCUCUGAGUCUGUCCAG
rnacentral:misc_RNA from 1 species